GUUUGUUCCCAGGUUACCUUCCAGGAUGCGCAGGGAAAAAAAUCAGAAAGAAGAGCAGGAAAUAACGCACAAUUCACAGGCCAAGGAGCAAAUUAUCAUCUUCUGAUACUACCACUGCAUUUAAGUCUGCAGAUGUCCACUCAAGAACAACACCAUCUAUGGUCUCUACACACUUCGGACCAUCCAUUAAGUGCUUGUGGAGAAAGAGGACUGUCAUACAGAGAAAGGCAUGGUGAAGGGUUGGACGGAGUAAUCAGCAAGCAGAGAAGGGGGACACGGGGAGAACAAAAGAAAGAGACAACAAGAAGAAGAGGAAAAGGGAGGGAGAAGAAAAAUAUAGAAGCUCAUUCUUUGACAUGUUGCUGACCACAGUAAAGAAGUCAUUCUUGAUACUGUGGCUCAAUGGAUGGCAAUUUCAGUCUUUCAGUUACGUGGUCCAUGACUUUUGUCCGGGCUGAGAUACUUUAUCUCAACCACAAUUGGAUAGAUUGAGGUUGAAAUUCUGUACAGUCAUUCACGGUCCCCAGGUGAUGAGUUCUACUGACUUUGGUAAUCUCCUGACUUUUUCGCUAGCACCGCCACUUUCAAAAACACUUUUGUUGUUUUUGAAAGACAUGUCUGAACAAGUACUGCAAAGAUUACUGUGAAAAUUGGUACAGACAUCCCGACCGUGAUGUAAUUUAAUACCUUUUAAUGAAAUUCCCAUCAUCUCAGCUCUACCUUUUAUAGAAUGGUAAUAUGUUAAAGUAAGACGUCGAACAUCAUAAUCAUUAUAACAUCAGGAGCAUUUUAAGAAUGCUAAUGUAGUAUUCAGCAUUAACUGGCUAUUGACAACUUUUUUCUUUGACUUAAAUUAUGAAGAAAAUGUUGAGAGCUAAAUAAUGUGAAAAAGAAAUCCGGUCUUUGUGACAAGGCUGCCACCAAAGGGGGAAAGCUACAGUGGGCUAAGUUGAAAAGUUGACUCAUCUUCACUUUAAAUACCGCUACCAAAUGUCUUCAACCUGCACUCUUUAAAAUGGCCACUAAGAGGUGACUCCACUAGUAGCAAAAGUAGUCUAAUUGUAUGGACAGUUAUGAUAAGAUGAUUCCACUUCUCACAGGAUUUAUUAGCUCAGUAAUCAGUUUAGAAGUGUGUAGAAGUAUAAUAACUUUUCUUAUUAGUUUUGUUGUUUAGAAGAAUUGUAGCCCUUUUAUACACAAGUUGAACAAAAAAGUAUUAUCACAUCAUGAUAUUACUUUUACAGUAAUUAAAACUAGAGUAUAUUCUCAGAAGCUUAAGCCAACACCUCAUCAAGAGAAUUAUGUAUCUUCUUUUUUUCAUUUAAGACACAUUCUAAUGUAGCUGGAAAUACUGUUUACUGUUGAUCCCUGAUGACAUUCCUUCUCUUUGUACAUUAGCGACUGUCACUCUCAUAAAAUGUUAUUGCCACUGAUGGAGCUGUCUGUUAUGAAUUUUCCAUUUUCAUUCUCCAUUUUCCUCAUUGAGAAAAAUGAUCUCCACAGUAAUGAUGAUCACAGAUGAUGUUCUGGACAGAUAACAAUGAGUGAGACAUGACUGCGACAUG